rnacentral:tRNA from 2 species
GGGGGUAUAGCUCAGCUGGGAGAGCACCUGCCUUGCAAGCAGGGGGUCAGCGGUUCGAUUCCGCUUAUCUCCACCA